CAGCAGCCGCGGGAAUACAGAGGGUGCAAGCGUUAAUCGGAAUUACUGGGCGUAAAGCGCGCGUAGGUGGUUUGUUAAGUUGGAUGUGAAAGCCCCGGGCUCAACCUGGGAACUGCAUCCAAAACUGGCAAGCUAGAGUACGGUAGAGGGUGGUGGAAUUUCCUGUGUAGCGGUGAAAUGCGUAGAUAUAGGAAGGAACACCAGUGGCGAAGGCGACCACCUGGACUGAUACUGACACUGAGGUGCGAAAGCGUGGGGAGCAAACAGGAUUAGAUACCCGUGUAGUUCCUGUCUCUUAUAC
rnacentral:rRNA from 1 species